UAAAAGCUUGAUUUUGGCUUUUAUUUUACUAGUUUUUUAUUUUACAUGUAAGUUUUUGCGUGAAUUAAUUAAAUUUUAAUAAUAAUAAUUUUUAUCCGCAGUAUUUUGUAUUAAAUUUAAAGGUUAUUUUGAUUUGGUAAAAGUUAAAAAGUUCAGAAUAAACUUGUGCCAGCAUUCGCGGUUACACAAGUUGUGCAAGUAAAAAUUAUUGGUUAGUAGUAAAUUUUAUUAAAAUAAAAUUAAUUAAUUUAUUUAUAGGUGAAAUUUUAAAUUAUUAUUAAAUUUAUGUUAUUUAAAUGAAGCUAUGAAAUUUUUUAUAUUAAGACUAGGAUUAGAUACCCUAUUAUAAUAAACGUGGAUAUAAACCUGGGUAGUAAUAGUUAUGAUCUUGAAACCUAAAAAAUUUGGCGGUGCUUUAAUCUAUUUAGAGGAACCUGUUCCGUGAUCGAUAAUCCACGAUAAAUUUUACUUGAUUUUGUUUAACUUAUAUACCGUUGUUAUCAGAAUAUUUUAUAAGAAAAUAAUUUUCUUUAAUUUUUAUAAUGAUUUAUUUCAGAUCAAGGUGUAGUUUAUAAUUAAGAGGUAAUGGGUUACAAUAAAUUUAUUUAAAUGGAAAUAAAAGUGAAAUAUUUUAUUAAAGGUGGAUUUAAUAGUAAAUUUAAAAUAUAUAUUUUAAUUGAUAAAAGCUCUAAAGCAUGUACAUAUCGCCCGUCGCUCUUUUUAAUUAAAGAUAAGUCGUAACAUAGUAGAUGUACUGGAAAGUGUAUCUAGAAUGCA
rnacentral:ncRNA from 1 species